CUCUUUUGAGAAUCAUCCGUUGGCGGAAGACAUUGUCUGGUGGGGAGUUUGGCUGGAGCGGCACAUCUGUUAAGGAUAACACAAGUGUCCUAAGAUGAGCUCAACAAGAAUAGAGAUCUCGUGUGGAACAAAAGGGUAAAAGCUCGUUUGAUUCUGAUUUGCAGUACGAAUACAAACCGUGAAAGCAUGGCCUAUCGAUCUUUUAGACCUUCAGAAUUUGAAGCUAGAAGUGUUAGAAAAGUUACCACAUGGAUAACUCGCUUGUGGCAGCUAAACGUUCAUAGCGACGUUGCCUUUUUAUCCUUCGAUGUCGGCUCUUCCUAUCAUUGUGAAGUAUAAUUCCCCAAGUGUUGGAUUAUUCACCCACCAAUGGGAACGUGAACUGGGUUUAAACCGUUUUGAGACAAGUUAGUU
rnacentral:ncRNA from 1 species